rnacentral:lncRNA from 1 species
GAGGGCGGUGGAGAGAGAGGGCGGUAGAGGGGGUUCGAUGCGACGGAAGAGAAAGGCAAUUGAUCUGGUGAUUGUGGGAGGCGGCGUGAGGUCUAGAACGGCGCGAGAAGGAGGAAGGCGAAGGUGGUAUCCCUCGAUGAUGCUUCGCCGGAAGAAGGCAGCGGCAAAGCAGCGGUCCACCGGCCGACUUGGAGAAAGGGGAGGGAAAAUAAUGGAUUUUUUUAUUUUUUUUGUUUAUUUUUUUUCCAAGUACGUGCCACAUCAGCUCGGUAUUACCACAUAGGCGACAUGUCAAUUCUGUAUUACCACGUAGGCGACACGUCAGCUCGGAGCUUCAAAAAAGCAUGGAAAAAUUGUUCAACCACUUAAAUUCAGGGAAUUUUUGAUAAAAAAAAAAAGAAAAAAGAAAAGUUCAUGGCAAGUUUGGAAAUUGACCCAAAGUUAUGGUUUUUGGCGUAAUUAACCCUAAUAAUAAUAAUAAUAAUAAUAAUAAUAAUAAUAAUGUUCUUUUUUCUUUUUUUGACGCCAUCAUAAUAAUGUUUUAAUCAUUAUUACAAAACACUACAGCUACAUGCCUACAAGCACGAGGGAGAUAACAUGUGAGUGUAAAAAGAAAAAAAAAAAGAGAGAAGACCCAUCGGCUCCUCCCUACCCCUACUCGGCUGCAGCACUCCAAUGCCUACUCCAUCCUUUCAAAGCUUAGCAUGCACCUCAAAUACUCAAGUAGCAGCCAAUGCCUCAUUUUCCUAUAUUUUCAAACAGCAACCCAAUCUCCUUCAUUCCCUUAUUCUUCAGCAAUCGAAGAGAGAGAGCAAGUUGGUAUAGGUAAGCCUUGGUGUAACCUCCUCCCUUCUUUCAUAAGUUCCUCCUGCAAUUGUUUAAAGAACCAUCUUUAUAUUUCAGUUUUUAUAUCCACUGACUCAAAUCGCACAGCAACCACCCAAACACAAGCAUUCACAGGUAUAUAUUAAGCUCCAUCUAUUCGAAUCUCAUUUGCAUUUCAUCCAACAAGCAUGAUUAAGUAGAAAUACAGAAUGUAUGAGCAUAUAUUUAUGGACUUAGCAAAGUCACAGGCACAGAAAUCAAUUCAUAUGUAUAUAUAUAUAUUUUUUCUUCAUAAGACAAGGCAUUAAGAAACCUUAUGAUACAAGGGCAGCCACAUGCUUAGUGUUAACCCCUUUCAAACAAUAUAGGAACCAAGAAUUUAUGAGGAUUGAUUUACGCCAAACUAGAAUCACAUCUUGCUUAAUCAUAGUUAUAUACAGUGAGAGCCGAACCUUUCUCAAUAAGAUAGACGCGAAUCUGACGGAGACGGCCCUAUAAAUUUAGGCCGAGGAGCAUUCCUCUGACAGCAUUGGGUCGGCAGUGUAGGAAGCGACGUCGAGCCAGGACGAUGGUUUCACCAGAGGCGAGAGGGCUGGGCCUCGAGUAUGAGUGGUGUUGGGAGCAAGGCGCGACCUCGCUGGAAUUUCGAAGGCCGUAGUGGCGGCAAUAUUGAUGAAGGAGUUAGGGCUCCCUGUUAGGAGAAGAAUUCCACCUGUAUAAAGGCGAGAGGAGGAAGAAUUCCAGAGUCGCGGAGCCGCGACUGAUUUUGAGGAAACAUGAAUGGCAACCGGGCGGAGGAACUAGAAUCGAAAAUUGAGUGAGAGAGCUGAGUUCAGCUGAAGAAAGCAAAAUUGUGGGGAGAAAUUGAGAGAGGAGAGGGAACAUGAAGCUUAGAACGGCGACCUCGCCAGACCUCAGCGGCGGCGGACGGAUCCCGACGGAAGCGAUUUUGAAAGGGAAAAAGAUUAGGGCUUGUGGUGAAAUCACCUCUGGCAGGGGAGGGAGUCCGCGGACAGUCUGUGUUUGUGAGCGAAAGAUUUAGAGACGAGGAGAGAGAGAGGCUCCGGCGCAAGGCGCCGGAAAUUCGUAGGGCAGCGGCGGAUUUCAUGAGUGAGAAAUGGAGAAGGAAAAUGGUUGAGCUUCAGGCAAAAAUUUGAGAGAGAGAGAGAGAGAGAGAGAGGUGCUGCGUGAUGCAGCCGAAAAU